UACGUAGGGGGCAAGCGUUGUCCGGAUUUAUUGGGCGUAAAGAGCGUGUAGGCGGCCAGGUAUGUCCGUUGUGAAAACUCGAGGCUCAACCUCGAGACGCCGAUGGAAACCAUCUGGCUAGAGUCCGGAAGAGGAGAGUGGAAUUCCCGGUGUAGCGGUGAAAUGCGCAGAUAUCGGGAAGAACACCCGUGGCUAAGGCGGCUCUCUAGUACGGUACUGACGCUGAGACGCGAAAGCGUGGGGAGCGAACAGG
rnacentral:rRNA from 1 species